UACGUAGGGUGCAAGCGUUGUCCGGAAUUAUUGGGCGUAAAGAGCUCGUAGGCGGUUCGUCGCGUCGGCUGUGAAAACCCGGAGCUCAACUCCGGGCCUGCAGUCGAUACGGGCGGACUAGAGUUCGGCAGGGGAGACAGGAAUUCCUGGUGUAGCGGUGAAAUGCGCAGAUAUCAGGAGGAACACCGGUGGCGAAGGCGGGUCUCUGGGCCGAUAUUGACGCUGAGGAGCGAAAGCGUGGGGAGCAAACAGG
rnacentral:rRNA from 1 species